GACGAACGCUGGCGGCGUGCCUAAUACAUGCAAGUCGAACGCAGUGGGGACGGGUGAGUAACACGUGGGUAACCUCCCAUCAGAGGGGAUAACACUUGGAAACAGGUGCUAAACCGAUAUUGAUGUAUGGACCCGCGGUGCAUUAGCUAGUUGGUGAGGUAACGGCUCACCAAGGCCACGAUGCAUAGCGGAGCUGAGAGGGGGAUCGGCCACACUGGGACUGAGACACGGCCCAGACUCCUACGGGAGGCAGCAGUAGGGAAUAUUCGACAAUGGACGAAAGUCUGACCGAGCAACGCCGCGUGUGUGAAGAAGGUCUUCGGAUCGUAAAACUCUGUUGUUAGAGAGGCGGUAUCUAAAGAGAAAGCAACGGCUAACUACGUGCCAGCAGCCGCGGUAAUAC
rnacentral:rRNA from 1 species